rnacentral:lncRNA from 1 species
AAGACACUUAUCUGUUUUGUUUUGUGCUGAUUUCCAGUUCAAGACAAACAUUGAUCACUGUUUUGUCUUCUGCACAAAGGCAGUCACAGAAAACAGCAGCAUGGCAUCACAAGACCUUCAACGUGCUUGAGUUGGAAGUCAGAGACUCCAUACAUGCUGGACCUAAGAAUGAAGGAAAAACUCAAUGUGUGCCAGGAGAGCAAGGCCCAAAGGAUGCUCUGAUACCAAUGUGACCAGCUUCUGUGAGAGAUGCACUUACCAUCUCUUGCUUUCAGGAAAUGUGCCCAGUGAACUCAGCCUUCAGGGCAGGCCCUGGUUGUAGCUGGUCCAUCGACACUCUGUUAUUAGGAGGGCUCACAAAGGAUGGUGAUUUUGUUUUCUUCCCACCUCUUCUGUCCAGUCAGAAUGUGGGCAGAACGUUGCCUAUUGCAAGAUGGAGAUGGAGAAUGAGCAGUGAAAACGAGUGUGUAAGGUUUGAGCUCACUGACAUCUUCGGAGAAUUGCAAAUGGCCCCUGCUUACACUGGGUUUGGCACUAGGGGACUGGACUGUUUAAAUUUGAUCCUUU